CAGUGGGAUGAGAAGAACCUCGCGGGAUGGGAAGCCGCGGAGGGAAGGGCCGUCUUUGGUUACCUGGAGAGCGGGAGCAGCUGCGGAUCCCUUAUGAAGUGCCCGGAUGAAGCUCCAGCGCUCACGCGCUUUCCGCAUUGAGUGCAGCGCCAUCUUGAGAAGGGCGGAGCCGUCUUGUUUGGAAUGACGUCUGUUCAGAGAGCCAAUCCCAGUCUCGCGACUCCUGCUUGCUGGGCGCGGCUUGGGCCUCCAGGCUGCGCAGCGCAGCCGCUAUCGGGCGGACUGCAGUUCUUGCCGAGCAGGUAGAACUGAGCAUGAUCUUGGAGAAAAUCUGCAUACAUUACUGAUCUCUGAACCAUUUACCCUUCACGUGCCUCUU
rnacentral:lncRNA from 1 species